CCUGGGGUGGGGACACCAAAGCCUGAGGUGCCUUAUGGGCCCUUGAUGCCCGGCUCCUUUCAGCUUCCCUGCCUCUGUCCUCUGACAGGCCUUGUGGGGUUCAAACACUGGUGAAAGUACUGAGAAGGUACGGGCUUACUUUGGGGAACAGCAGGCAGCAGAGUGGAUUUUUCUGAAGCGAACUGCUGAGGGCCUGUGCCUGGUGUCAUGGGGUGAGGCGGGAGGGAGGCCGCCACCACUGAGAAGAGCCAGUGGGCGCUCCUCACCUCAGGGCUUGUAAAACAGGGCCGGGACUGAGGGCGGUGCUGAGGGGAACAUGGCUCAGGAACCCCUGGGAGCUAAAUUAUGGAGGUGGCAGCUGAAGAGCCAGCCAGCAGGGGAUGGCUGCAGGGCAAAGCACGGUGAUGGCCGGGUGUGAGGCAGGGCGCUUCACGGGGUGGGGAAAGGUCUGAAACCGGCCAAGAUGGAAGGGGCUGAGGCUGAUGGGCUGUUAACUGCAGGCUCUGGGAGCUGUUGGCCCUGCCAGCCUUGCACCACCGCCCUCACUGCCAGCCUGGGCAGGGCCUGCCCAGCACCUCAGCACCUCCCUUCCCACCUUGGCAACCAAACACCGCCACAGCCAGCAGCCACCUCACCCCGAGCAGGUCAGUGCGGCAGCCCCGGCCAGAGGAGGGACCCUGACCCAGGCUGGGCUCACACGGGUGCGAUUUGGGUGUUCUUUCUGCAGGGUGCCCAAUGCCAGGUGCAGGAGCCUUCACCUGCCCCAGCUGCCGCAUGGCAUUCAGCUCCCGGCCGCUGCUGCGGGCACACCAGGAGCGGCUCUGCGUUGGGACACCGGUGGACAGCAGCUCCCAUGGCCCCAGGGGGUGCCCAGGCAGGGUCAGGAGGCUUCAGGACCCCUCGGUUGGGAUGUCCCAGAAUGGAGACCACGCCGAGCAACACCAUCUCCUCCUGCUUUCUGGGCUCCCUCUGGCCAUGCUGGGACCACGGGGGCCAAGGCGAGCCCGGGGGAUGCCCCUGGGGGGCGUCCUCACACCCCGCGAGAGGACCCUGCUCCGUGCCACCGAGCCUGGUGGCCACAGCACCCAGCAGCCUGCUGCCAGGGGGCUGACAA